CGAGUGUAACAGUAAGUCGUUGCUCACAAGUCCUUUUCAUGGUUUCCUUCUUACAACUUUCCUGAGAAAAUUCUUGUCACUUUCCUAAGAAAAGUAAACAAAAAAAGAUUAAAACUUGGGUUUCUCAUAAGGUGCUUCACUUAUCCACUAUUUCUCCAUUUCUAAACAGACUGUGUUUGCAUAGUAAUCAAUCUUCAACAACUUAGUUUGCACUUUUGCAAUGGAAAUCCAAAGCAGCUCUUCAACUCCGAUGAUAUGGAAAUAUGAUGUGUUUGUGAGCUUUAGAGGUGAAGACACAAGAAACAACUUCACUGAUCAUCUGUUUGGUGCUCUCUAUGACAAAGGCUUUGUUCCUUUCAAAGAUGACACCAUGCUAAGAAAAGGUAAAAAUAUAUCCACUGAGCUUAAACAAGCCAUUGAAGGAUCACAAAUUCUGAUUGUGGUCUUCUCAAAAAACUAUGCUUCUUCCACAUGGUGCUUACAAGAACUGGUAAAAAUUGCUGAUUGCAUUGAAGGAAAGAGGCAGACUGUUCUGCCUGUUUUCUGUGAUGUGACUCCAUCUGAGGUGCGGAAACAAAGCGGAAAUUAUGGAGAAGCUUUUCUGAAGCAUGAAGAAAGAUUCAAAGAAGAUUUACAAAUGGUUCAAAGAUGGAGGGAAGCUCUAGCACAAGUGGCCGAUCUCUCUGGAUGGGAUGUAACAAAUAAGCCACAAGAUGCACAGAUUGGAGAAGUAAUUAAACAAGUAACAUGCACAUUGAGUUACAAGUUUUCAACUAUACCGGAUGAUGUAGUUGGGAUACAGUCACCGUUGAAAGAAUUAGAAAAACUUCUAGUUUUGGACUCGAAUGGUGAUGUUCGAGUGCUAGGGAUUUGUGGAAUGGGUGGACUAGGAAAGUCGACUCUUGCUACUUUUUUGUAUCACAGAAUCUCUAACCAAUUUGAUGCAACCUGUUUUAUUGAUGAUAUAAGUAAACUUCUUAGGGAGCAGAGUGCAAUGGAGGCUCAAAAACAAAUUCUUAGUCAAACUCUAAAUGAGGAAAAUCUUCAGUUGUCAAAUCUUCCCACGACAACUAAUUGGAUACAAACUAGACUACGCCACAAAAAGGCCCUCAUAGUUCUUGAUAAUGUCGAUGAAGUGAAACAGCUGUACAAAUUGGCUUUGAAACAUGGAUCUCUAGGUGCUGGAAGUAGAAUCAUCAUAAUUUCUAGGGAUGAACAUAUCUUGAGAGAGUAUCCAGUGGAUGAAGUUUACAAAGUUCAACUCUUGAAAAGUCAAGAUGCUCUUCAAUUGUUUUGCAUAAAAGCUUUCAAAUGUGAUGAUGUAAUGAGUGAUGAAUACAUUGACUUGACGAAUGAAGUCUUGGAAUAUGCUGGCCGCUUGCCAUUAGCUAUAAACGUUUUGGGUUCAUUUUUGUUUGGCCGAGAUGUUUCUGAAUGGAGAAGUGCAUUGGCUAGACUGAGAGAAUAUCCAGAAAAAGAUAUAAUGGAUGUGCUUCGAGUAAGUUUUGAUGCAUUGAAUGAUGCAGAGAAGGAAAUAUUUUUAGAUAUUUCUUGUUUAUUUGAUGGAAGAUUACCAAAGUAUGAGAAGAAAAUUCUGGAUAUUCGUGGAUUUCAUCCAGAAAUUGGUAUACCCGUUCUCAUUGAUAAAUCACUACUCGUAGUUGAUGAUUAUGGGAAUUUCAAAAUGCAUGACUUGUUGAAAGAGCUGGGCAAGAAGAUUGUUCGAGAAAACUCACCAAAAGAGCCGAGAAAGUGGAGCAGGUUGUGGGACUGUGAGGAUUUCCACAAUGUUAUGUUAGAAAAUCAGGCAACAAAGACUCUUCAAGCAAUAAUUAUUAAACAUUGGGAUUCAGAGUUUUUAGAAACAACCAUGAGGGCUGAUGCUUUGUCGAAAAUGAGCCACCUUAAGUUGUUGAUUCUUGAAAAUGUGAACUUUUCUGGAGGUCUCAAUCAUCUUUCAAAUGAAUUAGGAUACCUUCAUUGGGAAAAUUAUCCUUUCAAGUGUUUGCCACCAAGUUUUCAACCAUAUAAACUUGUUGAAUUGAUCAUGCCUCAUAGUAGCAUCAAACAACUGUGGGAAGGCACAAAGCCUCUACACAGUUUAAAACGUAUGAAUCUCUCUGACUCCAGAAGUCUUAUUAAGCUACCGGAUUUUACGGAGGCCCCAAAUCUUGAGUCCCUGAAUCUUGAAGGAUGCAUAAAACUUGUGCGGAUCAAUGAGUCCAUUGGCACCCUAAGAAAGCUUGUCGGUUUGAACUUGAAGGAUUGUAUAAAUCUAGUCAGCAUUCCCAGUAGCAUUUUUCAUCUCAGUUCUCUUGAAGGUCUAGAUCUUUCUGGCUGCUCAAAAUUACGUAGCAUUAAUCUGUUAAAUGAAGGUAGUAUCCAAAGGAAGCCAUCUUCAUCCUUCUACAGAUUUCUAAAGUUCCCCAUCCAUUCUCGGAGACAUGAAGAUUCAGUUCGUUCAUUGCUGCCUUAUUUGCCUCGUUUACCAUGUUUGAAAUGGCUUGACCUAAGCUUCUGCAAUCUUGUUCAGAUCCCUGAUGCUAUUGGGUUGUUACACUCUUUAGAAUACCUAGAUUUGGAGGGAAACCAUUUUGUUACACUACCUUGUAGCAUUAAACAACUUUCAAAACUUAGAUGUUUGAACUUGGAGCAUUGUAAGGAGUUGAGAUAUUUGCCUGAGCUCCCAUCAAGAAGUCAGAGCGAGAGACAGGUCGAUUGGGCAAGAUUGUGUAUUUUCAACUGCCCCAAAUUAUGUCUGACAAAGAGCUUUUAUAGAAUCGUUUUUUCUUGGAUGAUCCAAUCUGCUAAGCUGCUCAUGCAAUCCUCUUUCUCCUCCUGGGAUUCAUUGGAUGCAAUUCAAAUUGUUAUUCCUGGAGGUGAAAUUCCAAGGUGGUUCAGCGAGCAAAAUGUGGGUAAUUCAAUACGGGUGGAUUUAUCUCCCGUUAUGCGGAACCAAAAUUGGAUAGGUCUUGCUUGCUGUUUUACAUUUGUCACGCAUAAAGAUCCAACUAAUUUGAACGAUCCAAUUUAUUCUCUGUUUUACUGUUUGAAACAUGAGCGGGACAGUUAUGAAAUUCCGAUACUUUUCAGGGAAGAUCUGAUCACAGUUGAAUUUGAUCACAUGGUGCUACUCUAUUUUAAUCGGGAACGAUUAAUCAAUUCGAAUCAAUUAGUCGAAUUUGUAUCUAUUGACACGCAUCCCCAAGAAUUGCAUGUCGAGGUGAAAAAGUGUGGGCAUAAGUGGGUAUAUGAGGAAGAUUUGGAUCAAUUAAUCCACAGUAUGGAGCACAAUGGGAAUUCGUCUGUUCUAGAGGGCAAUCUCUUAACAAACGAGUCACCAGAUGAGCUAAAUCAUGGAAAAGCAGCUUAGCAAUUUCAUUUCAGAUACAUUUCUGUCAAACAAAUUCUUAUCCAUUUCAGCAAGUUGUCAAGAUCUCAGGGAGAAAAGGUACAGACUCGACUCUGGCAUAGAAAAGGUUUCUUUCCUUGCCGGAAGGUGUUCUUUGUUUGAUUGCUGCGGCGCAUUCUGUGCGAGUAUCUUCUACUUUACUUUCAUUCAACAACACAUAAGGGCCUUGAGGGCUGUAACCACAUCCUCCUUGUCUAGUUGUCUUCAUGAUAUGGCUGUGUAAUUUUAUCUUCAGUUGUUAUAUCCCUUUUGCCAACCAGAUUUUCAGUGGAUUUAUGUAAAUGCAUUACUACACCAUCUAUGACCCUUCUUCAAUUAUAUUCUCUAGUUGUAUAAAUGUCAAAUUAUCUUUA